UACGUAGGGGGCGAGCGUUGUUCGGAUUUACUGGGCGUAAAGAGCGCGUAGGCGGUACGAUAAGUCGGAGGUGAAAUCCCUCGGCUCAACCGAGGACCCGCGUCCGAUACUGUCGAACUUGAGUGCAGGAGAGGAGAGCGGAAUUCCCAGUGUAGCGGUGAAAUGCGUAGAUACUGGGAGGAACACCGGUGGCGAAGGCGGCUCUCUGGACUGUCACUGACGCUGAGGCGCGAAAGCUAGGGGAGCAAACGGGAUUAGAUACCCCGGUAGUCCUAGCCGUAAACGAUGGGCACUAGGUGUGGGAGGUAUUGACCCCUUCCGUGCCGCAGCUAACGCAUUAAGUGCCCCGCCUGGGGAGUACGGCCGCAAGGUUG
rnacentral:rRNA from 1 species